UUUUUUUGUUUGUUUUUUGUCAUAACUUCAUAACUAAUUUAGCAAGGAGAGAAAUGGCAGUACUUACUUUUUUUCAUAACUACAAAAGGUCAAAUUAUUCUAUAUUUAGAAAAUGUUGAAAUGUGUAGAUAUAUUUUCCUUCUAAGGUAAUUACAAGUUCCAAUUUAUUUUACAUUAAUAUGUGUAAAACUAUCAAGUAAUAAUAAUAAAGUUGUGAUAAUUAAAACGGACAGUUGAAAUUUGCUUGUUCUAUUUAUAUAUGUUGAUGAAAGGUCUAUUUUCAUAAGUGUGUUUCUAUGGAAGACAAAUACUUUCAAGUUUCUAAAAUGUAUAAUUAUCCUCAUGUGGCUCAAGGCAUCUUUGACAUCUGUUUAGACAUAUAAAAGAGUAGGCUUUUUUUCCAUGGGAGUAUUUUUGGCAAGGUAAAUCUCAGAUUUUCUCAAAAUGCAUUUUUAAAUUCUGUGAGCUAACUCCUGCCUUUUCUUAUGGAAUGUAGAGAAUAUGUGAAAAUCUUCUCAACUUUGUGCUGCUCUGACCCUCUUAACUAAGUACUAGAUUCUUCUUAACUUCAACUCAGCCCAAGACGCUGAGGGGACCAGCCACUUUAUGAAUCUUAGUGAGGGGUUCCUCAUUCCACCUGCCUUCCUGCUGAUGCAGCUCCGCUAAUAUCCCCCAAGAACUGGAGUUCUUCCUGAAGACUAGGAACUGGCAAGGCUAGUGACUGGAUGCCUCUCUUGUCUCCAGUGCUACAUUUCUUCUAUCACUACAACUAAGAUAAGUUCUUCUAUCACUACAGCUAAGAUAAGUUUCAAUAAACUUAGACUAAACCAUGUUUUAAAAAUAUUUUGGCAGAUUUCAGUCUGAAAAAUUUAAUAGUUCUGAGUCUUUCCAGAGUAAAAAUGAAAACUGUGUGUAGAGAAGAAAGAGCUCUCCUCUACUUUUGUAGAUUUGAUAAAGGAAUUGAUGAGAUAAACUGACAAAAGGCAGAUUAACAAGAGAGCAAGUACAUGAAUUUAUCAAUGUUUAAUAUUACAUACACAGAGCACCAUGGAAAAGUGGAUAUCAAAAAUACAGUGAUAAAGUUCUCACAGUGGCUCAGUAGGUUAAGAACUUGACAUAGUGUCCAUGAGGAUGUGGGUUCAAUCCCUGGCUUUACUCAGUGGCUUAAGGAUUUGGUGUUGCUGCAAGUUGUGGAGCAGGUCACAGAUGAGGUUCGGAUCUAGUGUUGAUAUUGCUGUGGCAUAGGCUGGCAGCUGUGGCUCUGAUUUGAUCCCAAGCUUGGGAACUUCCAUACACCACAGGUGCAGCCCUAAAAAGAAAAAAAAAAAGGUACAGUGAGUUUUGAAAGUUUAUAUAUCAUCUUAAUAGGGGGAGUGAGGUCUAGGCCAUUAUGGGGAGGGUAAAUGUCUUUCAGGAUGAGAAAUGGGCCUUUAGAAGCACACUCGGGAGGUAUGAGAAUUUGUGGUGAGGUUUGUUUGAGGAUGGUGACUUCCAGUCUCUCUUGCGAUGAGUUCCCUGGUUUCUGAAACUCCCAGGAGGGGAGUAAUUACAAUGGAAUUCCCUUUCUGUCUUUCACCACACAGGAAGAGUUCAGAGAAAGCCUCUGCCUACAUUUGCUAUUUUUCAAAUAUCUUCAGCUCAAAAUAAUCAAUAUGUCAAAGUAGCAUAUUUUGAGGUUACAAGCCCUAAACUCCUUGAAUAAUCAUAUAUGAAAAAAAAUCUAUCAAUUAUGGUAUGUUUUGUCUGGAGGAAAUUUUGAAGAUGAAGUGGAGAUGAAGACUUAUUAAACAACUCACCAACUGUUAAUUUCUUUUGAAUGAAGUGUAAAAUAACCUCCAAGUUCAAAAUCAAAAUAUGGCGUUGCCUCCUCUGAAGCUGCUCAGCCUAGGCAAUAGUUCCUCUCAAUUUCACCUUUUUCUUCCAUUGUUAUUCUCUGUUUACUUCUGUUUUCUCCAAAUAAAUAGCUAAUUUUGAUGACAUUCUUAAUAGUCUUGCCUGCUAAUGACUUUAGUCUUAUUUCUGGAUUUUGGGAUUAUUUGCCAUUUCUUUAAUUCUAAUUCAAUGUUUUAUUUUUAUUUUUUUAUCAAGUAGUCUUAAUUGUAAUCAAUUGUUAUUUCCAAAUUUUACUUCAAUGUUUUACACUUUUUGGAACCUAAGAAAGAAGUGUUGUACAGAAGGGAUUUAGAUUAACUCCUGUAGUCUUACUUCCUUGAUUUACUGCAACUGAAGUAAUUUAUAGGUUAAUUAAAAACUAAAUUAGGGGAGUUCCCGUCGUGGCGCAGUGGUUAACGAAUCCGACUAGGAACCAUGAGGCUGCGGGUUCAGUCCCUGCCCUUGCUCAGUGGGUUAACGAUCUGGCGUUGCCGUGAGCUGUGGUGUGGACCCUCAAAAAAAAGACAAAAAGACAAAAAAAUAAAUAAACAAAAUAAAGAUGGAUUUCCCAAGUAACAGAAAUAAAACCAAAAAUAAAAACAUGGAACCUAGUCAAACUUAUAAGCUUUUGCAUAGCAAGGAGAAUUAUAAACAAAAUGAAAAUACAGCUUAUGGACUAGGAGAAAAUAUUUACAAAUUAUGUAACCAAUGCAUUUAAUUUCAAAAUAUAAAAACAGCCCAUACAACUCAAUAACAAAAACAAAAAAACAACACAACUGAAAAAAUAGGCUGAAGAGCUAAAUAGACAUUUCUCCAAAGACAGACAAAUGGCCAAAAAGCACAU
rnacentral:lncRNA from 1 species